GGGGGAGAGAGGUGGAAAAGGCAACAAACAAGAGGUUUCUUGUGAGGAACAUUGUUGAACAAGCUGCAGUUAGGGAUGUUCAAGAAGCCUGUGUUUAUGAUGGUUAUACGCUUCCUAAGCUGUGUGAGAGGAUGGUCAUCGUCCGGUGAAGCUGGCUUCUAACAACCGGGAUACACCUGUAGUAACUCAAGUGAAAUCUUAGUUGGAUGAUCUACAAUAGGAAGUUUAGCAGAGGGUAUGUGAUUGGCUGUGUUGCCAAGGUACAACCCUCAUCAGAGAAUUACUGAGUACUCUGAAAACAUGUACCAUCAAUGUUAACAAA